rnacentral:rRNA from 1 species
AUUGAACGCUGGCGGCAGGCCUAACACAUGCAAGUCGAGCGGUAACACAGAGGAGCUUGCUCCUUGGGUGACGAGCGGCGGACGGGUGAGUAAUGCCUGGGGAUCUGCCCGAUAGAGGGGGAUAACUACGGGAAACUGUAGCUAAUACCGCAUAAUGUCUACGGACCAAAGUGGGGGCUCUUCGGACCUCAUGCUAUCGGAUGAACCCAGGUGGGAUUAGCUAGUUGGUGAGGUAAUGGCUCACCAAGGCGACGAUCUCUAACUGGUUUGAGAGAAUGACCAGUCACACUGGAACUGAGACACGGUCCAGACUCCUACGGGAGGCAGCAGUGGGGAAUAUUGCACAAUGGGCGCAAGCCUGAUGCAGCCAUGCCGCGUGUGUGAAGAAGGCCUUCGGGUUGUAAAGCACUUUCAGCGGGGAGGAAGGGCUACUAGUUAAUACCUAGUGGCAUUGACGUUACUCGCAGAAGAAGCACCGGCUAACUCCGUGCCAGCAGCCGCGGUAAUACGGAGGGUGCAAGCGUUAAUCGGAAUUACUGGGCGUAAAGCGCACGCAGGCNGUUUGUUAAGUCAGAUGUGAAGUCCCCGAGCUCAACUUGGGAACUGCAUUUGAAACUGGCAAGCUAGAGUCUUGUAGAGGGGGGUAGAAUUCCAGGUGUAGCGGUGAAAUGCGUAGAGAUCUGGAGNAAUACCGGUGGCGAAGG